GCAUUAUGAAAGAUGGGGAUAAAACUACUGCUGCAGAGUUCUGAACAGAGUUUCUUGAGCCUGAUAAACCUAUAAAUACACCAAAAACAAAUUCAGAUACCAACCAUUUGAACUCACUUGCAACAACUCAACCUGAGAAAUGUUGAUGCCGAGAAGCUGAGCUUGGAACGUGCCCUGGGUGCUAAUCACUCUGCACAAGCAUUGUGGGUCAGACUGAAUAACAUUCUUCAGAGGAUCGCAACAAGAAUCAGGUGGGUCACGAGUGCUGUUCAAGUAGUUCAGGCAAGGCGCAAGACUGUUGAUACACGAUGAUCCAUCUUGAGCUUUUGACAUCUGCAUAUUACUAGCUAAGAUUACUAGCACAAGGACACUCAAAUGACUCAAUUUGUGUCCCAUUCUUCGCCUCUCCGAUUUCUUUUGUAUCUGUUACGGAGAAACUUUGUUUAAUCUCAAGUGCUACUUUGCUCAGAACAUGUUUCGGAAUCAAUGUAUAUAUAUUGGGUGUUAGUAUGACAGGAAGUUGGUCAUCAAACUCUGCUAGGGAAGAUGACUACGUUGUAUAUAUUUUGAGUACUCUACAGGUAAAUAAGAUGGUGUUGUAACAGGUAAGAGUUGACCUAAAAAAAUUAUGCAAAAUAAUUCUCCGCUCAUUAGAAUGGAAAUUUUGGAUGUAAUGCAGAGACCAUAUAUUCAAAAGGCAGAUUUAGCUGCUCAACAACCUCCAGUUUUCUUAGACUUGCUUACCUCAUGUGGUGCCUUGUCAUGUAGGUCAGGUCUUUCACCUGUGCUUACCCCUUGCUGCAAGGAGGCUAGGCUGCGGGAUAUAAAGAUGUUCCUUCUUUUUCCCUAAUAUAUUUUACUCAUUUUCUA